rnacentral:rRNA from 1 species
CAGAGGUGGCUAGCGUUGUUCGGAUUUACUGGGCGUAAAGGAUGCGUAGGUGGCUUUGUAUGUCAGAUGUGAAAUAUCACUGCUCAACGGUGAAAGUGCAUUUGAAACUACUUGGCUUGAGUACAGGAGAGGAGCAUGGAAUUCUUGGUGUAGCGGUGAAAUGCGUAGAUAUCAAGAAGAACACCGGAGGCGAAGGCGAUGCUCUAGACUGAUACUGACACUGAGGCAUGAAAGCUGGGGGAGCAAACAGGAUUAGAUACCCUGGUAGUCCCAGCCUUAAACGGUGUACACUUGGUGUGGGAGGAAUUAACCCCUCCUGCGCCGUAGCUAACGCGAUAAGUGUACCGCCUGGGGAGUACGGCCGCAAGGUUA